CAGCAGCCACGGUAAUACGUAGGUGGCAAGCGUUGUCCGGAAUUAUUGGGCGUAAAGGGCUCGCAGGCGGUUUCUUAAGUCUGAUGUGAAAGCCCCCGGCUCAACCGGGGAGGGUCAUUGGAAACUGGGAAACUUGAGUGCAGAAGGGGAGAGUGGAAUUCCACGUGUAGCGGUGAAAUGCGUAGAGAUGUGGAGGAACACCAGUGGCGAAGGCGACUCUCUGGUCUGUAACUGACGCUGAGGAGCGAAAGCGUGGGGAGCGAACAGGAUUAGAUACCCGCGUAGUCCCUGUCUCUUAUAC
rnacentral:rRNA from 1 species